GUCAGCAUGGCGUAGUGGUUUGAGUGUUAAGACUACAACUCUGGAGACCAGGGUUCAAUUCCCAGCCCGGCCC